GAUGAACGCUGGCGGCGUGCUUAACACAUGCAAGUCGAACGAAGCACUUUAUUUGAUUUCCUUCGGGACUGAUUAUUUUGUGACUGAGUGGCGGACGGGUGAGUAACGCGUGGGUAACCUGCCUUGUACAGGGGGAUAACAGUUGGAAACGGCUGCUAAUACCGCAUAAGCGCACAGCAUCGCAUGAUGCAGUGUGAAAAACUCCGGUGGUAUAAGAUGGACCCGCGUUGGCUUAGCUAGUGGGUGCGGUAACGGCCCACCAAGGCGACGAUCCAUAGCCGACCAGAGAGGGUGAGCGGCCACAGUUGGACUGAGACACGGCCGAAACUCUUACGGGAUGCAGCAGUGGGGAAUAUUGCACAAUGGGCGAAAGCCUGAUGCAGCGACGCCGCGUGAGCGAAGAAGUAUUUCGGUAUGUAAAGCUCUAUCAGCAGGGAAGAUAAUGACGGUACCUGACUAAGAAGCACCGGCUAAAUACGUG
rnacentral:rRNA from 1 species